rnacentral:rRNA from 1 species
CGUUUGGAUUACGCGGAGGGACAUUACCGAGUUUACAACUCCCAAACCCAAUGUGAACGUUACCAAACUGUUGCCUCGGCGGGGUCACGCCCCGGGUGCGUAAAAGCCCCGGAACCAGGCGCCCGCCGGAGGAACCAACCAAACUCUUUCUGUAGUCCCCUCGCGGACGUAUUUCUUGCAGCUCUGAGCAAAAAUUCAAAAUGAAUCAAAACUUUCAACAACGGAUCUCUUGGUUCUGGCAUCGAUGAAGAACGCAGCGAAAUGCGAUAAGUAAUGUGAAUUGCAGAAUUCAGUGAAUCAUCGAAUCUUUGAACGCACAUUGCGCCCGCCAGUAUUCUGGCGGGCAUGCCUGUCCGAGCGUCAUUUCAACCCUCGAACCCCUCCGGGGGAUCGGCGUUGGGGAUCGGGACCCCUCACCGGGUGCCGGCCCUGAAAUACAGUGGCGGUCUCGCCGCAGCCUCUCCUGCGCAGUAGUUUGCACAACUCGCACCGGGAGCGCGGCGCGUCCACGUCCGUAAAACACCCAACUUCUGAAAUGUUGACCUCGGAUCAGGUAGGAAUACCCGCUGAACUUAAGCAUAUCAAAA